AAGUGAAGUCUAGGAUUUUUUUUUUUUUUUCUUUCCCUGUUUCUUUAGACAAGCAUGCCAGGUGGUGCUGGGAGCUCUCUUACUACACAUUGAAAAUUUCGUCUUAGAGAGCUCAGCAUAGACAUUGACACACGUGCCUGACCGAAUCUUGUACUUGCUGACCGUACAGUGUGGUUAUAGCCUCGUGGGCGCAGGGAAGAUGUGCUUUCAGUGUUGCCACUUCUCCUCUCCAGUUUGUCACCCCUCAGAAGAGUGGUAGGAAGAUGACUACUGCUCCAGAAAAUAAAGGAGAGGAAAAAAAGCCUCUAGCUCCUGUGUUUGCUGAGAAACUAAUAUCACCACACAGGAAGGCAGCCACAUGGGCCCUGUUGCCAAAAGACAGGAGUGCCAAGUUCAAUGACCAUGAGAGGAGACAUGGGAGCUGUGAGGAGGAAGAAGAUAAGAACGCUGAGUUGGGCCAGGAUAAGGAAGGUGAUGAAUCCUCUUCUGGGGGCAGCCCUGCCUGCCAUUCCACAUGGAUGCUCGACGGGUUCUGUGAAGAUCCCACCCUGCAGAAAGUUGCCUUGGCAAUCCCUGGCUGACUUUUCAGGCAUGGCCUCGUGCAUGAGGAAUCUCAGUGGACCUUUGACCUCUGCUGUCCACAUGACCAGAAUCAGAGUUUUCUGUGAAUAUCAUCCAUUAAUUGUUUCUGUCAUGGUGCAUAUGAGCCAUGCAGAGCCUGUCAAAAAAACACCUGAUAAAUGGAAGAAGGAGAUGGCAGAAGACUUCCCCGGAAACCAAAAGAUAGAAAUUGGAAGGUAAUAUCUGCACCCAACGUGGGGCUCAAACUCACAACCCUGAGAUCAAGAGUUGCAUGCUCCACUGACUGAGCCAGCCAGGUGCCCCUAUUUUGAGGGAAUUCGUAGUGAGGUGCAGCUUGCAUAUCAGGAUUACAGGUACAUUUGAGUGAAAAUAGUUGGUGUAGGUGAACUCUAAAAUAGUCUCUACCUGUGUAUUCUGAGUAACGUAGUCUCUGGAAAAGAAUCCUGCCAAUUCAGAAAACAAGUCUGAAAGGAUAAAUCCCAUAUUGUUAGCAAUUUGCUAUUGUCAGUGUUUCCUGUGAGGAGAUUUGGGGGCUCUCUGUUAUGCUUGUAGUCAGCACUGCUGGAAAAUGACAAAACAAAAAAUUGCUGCCCAAAGACAUUGAAUUUCUGUAAUGUUAAUUAAGUUUUGAUUACAUAUACUUAAGACUUUAGAAUCAUUCCUUUACAUGAGAAAUUAUUACAGAGGGGAGUUAGGAGAUGCCAGGGAAUCCAUGACCAUGUUAAAUAAAGCAUAAUACCUAUGUCA
rnacentral:tRNA from 1 species